rnacentral:rRNA from 1 species
UAGGGAUCUUCGGCAAUGGACGGAAGUCUGACCGAGCAACGCCGCGUGAGUGAAGAAGGUUUUCGGAUCGUAAAGCUCUGUUGUAAGAGAAGAACGAGUGUGAGAGUGGAAAGUUCACACUGUGACGGUAUCUUACCAGAAAGGGACGGCUAACUACGUGCCAGCAGCCGCGGUAAUACGUAGGUCCCGAGCGUUGUCCGGAUUUAUUGGGCGUAAAGCGAGCGCAGGCGGUUAGAUAAGUCUGAAGUUAAAGGCUGUGGCUUAACCAUAGUAGGCUUUGGAAACUGUUUAACUUGAGUGCAAGAGGGGAGAGUGGAAUUCCAUGUGUAGCGGUGAAAUGCGUAGAUAUAUGGAGGAACACCGGUGGCGAAAGCGGCUCUCUGGCUUGUAACUGACGCUGAGGCUCGAAAGCGUGGGGAGCAAACAGGAUUAGAUACCCUGGUAGUCCACGCUGUAAACGAUGAGUGCUAGGUGUUAGACCCUUUCCGGGGUUUAGUGCCGUAGCUAACGCAUUAAGCACUCCGCCUGGGGAGUACGACCGCAAGGUUG